CUUUUCCUUUCGGCGGGCGUCGGAGAAGUCGCUUGAUACUUCCGGCUAUGCGGGUCAGGCGGGCCGGGCGACGGUGCCCUCGGGCCGGUUGCCAGUCAUUUCGAGGUGCAACAGAACCUGAGAGUUGAAGAUGAAUGAAGGUUGAGGAUGACCAAUCCCCUAGGAACACAACUGGAUGUUACAACAAGGUAGCUGCAGAUGAAUGAACACUCAAGUUCUUAGCUGUGGUGUUUAAGAAUUCUUUGUUGCCUCAGCUGUGGCAUGUGACAUUUUGGAAGGAAAAACAAAGAAUUGGUCAAGAAGACAUGAAUUGAAGCAAAUGAUGAAAAGUAAUAUUUUAUUUAACAUUGAUCAACUCAAUAAAAUUAUGGGGAAAAUACAUAUUUGGAUAUUUUUAAUUGCUGGGCAAUAAAAUCUGUUUUCUUUAA